GCCCCAUUCGAACGACAAGUUCGACCGAGGGUUUGAAACCCUAACGAAUCGAGGACGUAAAAGAAAUAGCAACCCGUUUGGAUCUGUCAUCUCUGAUCGUGUCGUUCGCCUCGAUGAGAUAAAAGAACUUUACAGCUUUCGAUAAAUUAAGGCGAAAUUGUCGGAGGUAAUGGAACACAUCAUAAGUACCGUUUCCAGAGUCUGAGGUUGCCUUUGUGACUAUGGCCAAUUGUCGGAUGUGAAAUGAAAUGCGGCUGCAGAGCACAGAUCGGACAUGAAGCAUGUAAAUCUUCAAGUAAAGAAAUCCAUACCGAUCUGGAAAAGCAAUAUACAGCUGGGCUUCGGCGAAGAGAUGGUCGAACUUGGUUUGUAAUGACAUCAAUUUUCUCUCCUCUUUUCAAAUGCAUCACAGACGUGUGGUGAAAAACUUGGCAAGCUUGCUUUCCAUUGUGCAAGAACAGUUUCAUGCUUGCUUGUAAGCCACUGUUAUUCCAUCAGAUUUUAAUGGAAAGUUACUUGCGUUGAGUA